GUCAUCCAAUCCCCCAUUCUUAUGUUUGGUAUGAUAGUUGAAAGGUAUUCCAUCUUGAAUGUCUUUCUUUUUAUUCUGGAAUUACAUUUUUUUAGAUCCAGGAUAAGUCUCCACUUCUUUUGUGGUUUUGGGGCAAGGAAAACCGUGGGAUAGUGACCUUUCCUUUGUUCUUUUAUUGGAACAUGUUCUAUCACCUGGUCUUUCAGGGGUUUCAAAAUGCAGUCCCUCAUAGCUCUCUCUCUUUCUCCUUUUGCUACUCGAGAUUGGGUAAACACAUCUUUUGUCGGAAAGGCC